rnacentral:rRNA from 1 species
GACAAACGCUGGCGGCGUGCUUAACACAUGCAAGUCGAACGGAAAGGCCCUGCUUUUGUGGGGUGCUCGAGUGGCGAACGGGUGAGUAACACGUGAGUAACCUGCCCUUGACUUUGGGAUAACUUCAGGAAACUGGGGCUAAUACCGGAUAGGAGCUCCUGCUGCAUGGUGGGGGUUGGAAAGUUUCGGCGGUUGGGGAUGGACUCGCGGCUUAUCAGCUUGUUGGUGGGGUAGUGGCUUACCACGGCUUUGACGGGUAGCCGGCCUGAGAGGGUGACCGGCCACAUUGGGACUGAGAUACGGCCCAGACUCCUACGGGAGGCAGCAGUGGGGUAUAUUGCACAAUGGGCGGAAGCCUGAUGAAGCAACGCCGCGUGCGGGAUGACGGCCUUCGGGUUGUAAACCGCUUUCGCCUGUGACGCAGCGUGAGUGACGGUAAUGGGUAAAGAAGCACCGGCUAACUACGUG